CCUACGGGAGGCAGCAGUGAGGAAUAUUGGUCAAUGGCCGGAAGGCUGAACCAGCCAUGCCGCGUGAAGGUCAGUGCCCUAUGGGCGUUAAACUUCUUUUGUGCGGGAGCAAUAAUGGUCACGUGUGGCCAGACGAGAGUUCCGUACGAAUAAGCAUCGGCUAACUCCGUGCCAGCAGCCGCGGUAAUACGGGGGAUGCAAGCGUUAUCCGGAUUUUAUGGGUUUAAAGGGUGCGGAGGGUGGUAGGUAAGUCAGCGGUGAAAUGCCUCCGCUCAACGGGGUGAAGUGCCAUUGAUACUGCCUUGCUGGAAUGCGGAUGCGGUGGGAGGAAUGUGUGGUGUAGCGGUGAAAUGCAUAGAUAUCACACAGAACACCGAUUGCGAAGGCAUCUCACGAAUCCGCGAUUGACGCUGAUGCACGAAAGCGUGGGUAUCAAACAGGAUUAGAUACCCUAGUAGUC
rnacentral:rRNA from 1 species